rnacentral:tRNA from 1 species
GGGCCCGUAGCUCAGCCAGGAUAGAGCGCCGGCCUCCUAAAGGCUGGUCUAGGUUAGCCGGUGAAGCCGGCGGUCCGGGGUUCGAAUCCCCGCGGGCCCG